rnacentral:siRNA from 1 species
GGCCGGGGAGACGGUACCUGUCA